rnacentral:rRNA from 1 species
GGCGGCAGGCCUAACACAUGCAAGUCGAGCGGCAGCGGGAAAGUAGCUUGCUACUUUUGCCGGCGAGCGGCGGACGGGUGAGUAAUGCCUGGGAAAUUGCCCANUCGAGGGGGAUAACAGUUGGAAACGACUGCUAAUACCGCAUACGCCCUACGGGGGAAAGCAGGGGACCUUCCGGCCUUGCGCGAUUGGAUAUGCCCAGGUGGGAUUAGCUAGUUGGUGAGGUAAUGGCUCACCAAGGCGACGAUCCCUAGCUGGUCUGAGAGGAUGAUCAGCCACUCUGGAACUGACACACGGCCCACACUCCUACGGGAGGCAGCAGUGGGGAAUAUUGCACAAUGGGGGAAACCCUGAUGCAGCCAUGCCGCGUGUGUGAAGAAGGCCUUCGGGUUGUAAAGCACUUUCAGCGAGGAGGAAAGGUUGAUGCCUAAUACNUAUCAACUGUGACGUUACUCGCANAANAAGCACCNNCUAACUCC